AGAGUUUGAUCAUGGCUCAGAUUGAACGCUGGCGGCAGGCCUAACACAUGCAAGUCGAGCGGUAGCACAGAGAGCUUGCUCUCGGGUGACGAGCGGCGGACGGGUGAGUAAUGUCUGGGAAACUGCCUGAUGGAGGGGGAUAACUACUGGAAACGGUAGCUAAUACCGCAUAAUGUCGCAAGACCAAAGAGGGGGACCUUCGGGCCUCUUGCCAUCAGAUGUGCCCAGAUGGGAUUAGCUAGUAGGUGGGGUAACGGCUCACCUAGGCGACGAUCCCUAGCUGGUCUGAGAGGAUGACCAGCCACACUGGAACUGAGACACGGUCCAGACUCCUACGGGAGGCAGCAGUGGGGAAUAUUGCACAAUGGGCGCAAGCCUGAUGCAGCCAUGCCGCGUGUAUGAAGAAGGCCUUCGGGUUGUAAAGUACUUUCAGCGGGGAGGAAGGCGAUAAGGUUAAUAACCUUGUCGAUUGACGUUACCCGCAGAAGAAGCACCGGCUAACUCCGUGCCAGCAGCCGCGGUAAUACGGAGGGUGCAAGCGUUAAUCGGAAUUACUGGGCGUAAAGCGCACGCAGGCGGUCUGUCAAGUCGGAUGUGAAAUCCCCGGGCUCAACCUGGGAACUGCAUUCGAAACUGGCAGGCUAGAGUCUUGUAGAGGGGGGUAGAAUUCCAGGUGUAGCGGUGAAAUGCGUAGAGAUCUGGAGGAAUACCGGUGGCGAAGGCGGCCCCCUGGACAAAGACUGACGCUCAGGUGCGAAAGCGUGGGGAGCAAACAGGAUUAGAUACCCUGGUAGUCCACGCCGUAAACGAUGUCGACUUGGAGGUUGUGCCCUUGAGGCGUGGCUUCCGGAGCUAACGCGUUAAGUCGACCGCCUGGGGAGUACGGCCGCAAGGUUAAAACUCAAAUGAAUUGACGGGGGCCCGCACAAGCGGUGGAGCAUGUGGUUUAAUUCGAUGCAACGCGAAGAACCUUACCUACUCUUGACAUCCAGAGAACUUUCCAGAGAUGGAUUGGUGCCUUCGGGAACUCUGAGACAGGUGCUGCAUGGCUGUCGUCAGCUCGUGUUGUGAAAUGUUGGGUUAAGUCCCGCAACGAGCGCAACCCUUAUCCUUUGUUGCCAGCGGUUAGGCCGGGAACUCAAAGGAGACUGCCAGUGAUAAACUGGAGGAAGGUGGGGAUGACGUCAAGUCAUCAUGGCCCUUACGAGUAGGGCUACACACGUGCUACAAUGGCGCAUACAAAGAGAAGCGACCUCGCGAGAGCAAGCGGACCUCAUAAAGUGCGUCGUAGUCCGGAUUGGAGUCUGCAACUCGACUCCAUGAAGUCGGAAUCGCUAGUAAUCGUAGAUCAGAAUGCUACGGUGAAUACGUUCCCGGGCCUUGUACACACCGCCCGUCACACCAUGGGAGUGGGUUGCAAAAGAAGUAGGUAGCUUAACCUUCGGGAGGGCGCUUACCACUUUGUGAUUCAUGACUGGGGUGAAGUCGUAACAAGGUAACCGUAGGGGAACCUGCGGUUGGAUCACCU
rnacentral:rRNA from 2 species